rnacentral:lncRNA from 1 species
UCCAGAAAAAGCCCAAACUAGCUUGCUCGCUAGGCGAGCAAUUCCUUCGCCUAGCGAAGCUUGCGAAAAUCAGAAGUUUUGGACCUCAGUCUGAGCCCAUUAGGUCACCACUACUACUAUAAAUACCAGCUCUUCAGCUACGAAAAUGGACGGAGGCGAACGGAGAGACCAAGACGGACAGAGAAGGACAGAAACCCUGCUAACCCGAAGAAUUCAGAGUAAGGAAACCCUG